rnacentral:rRNA from 1 species
UACGGAGGGCGCAAGCGUUGUCCGGAAUUAUUGGGCGUAAAGAGCUCGUAGGCGGUCUGUCACGUCUGCCGUGAAAACCCGAGGCUUAACCUCGUGGCUUGCGGUGGAUACGGGCAGACUAGAGGUAGGUAGGGGAGAACGGAAUUCCCGGUGUAGCGGUGAAAUGCGCAGAUAUCGGGAGGAACACCGGUGGCGAAGGCGGUUCUCUGGGCCUUACCUGACGCUGAGGAGCGAAAGCAUGGGGAGCGAACAGG